UACGUAGGGUGCGAGCGUUGUCCGGAAUUACUGGGCGUAAAGAGCUUGUAGGUGGUUUGUCGCGUUGUUCGUGAAAUCUCACGGCUCAACUGUGAGCGUGCGGGCGAUACGGGCAGACUAGAGUACUGCAGGGGAGACUGGAAUUCCUGGUGUAGCGGUGGAAUGCGCAGAUAUCAGGAGGAACACCGGUGGCGAAGGCGGGUCUCUGGGCCAUUACUGACGCUGAGGAGCGAAAGCGUGGGGAGCGAACAGG
rnacentral:rRNA from 1 species